GACCAGACUCCUACGGGAGGCAGCAGUGGGGAAUAUUGCACAAUGGGGGAAACCCUGAUGCAGCGACGCCGCGUGAGUGAAGAAGUAUUUCGGUAUGUAAAGCUCUAUCAGCAGGGAAGAAAAUGACGGUACCUGACUAAGAAGCUCCGGCUAAAUACGUGCCAGCAGCCGCGGUAAUACGUAUGGAGCAAGCGUUAUCCGGAUUUACUGGGUGUAAAGGGAGCGCAGGCGGUACGGCAAGUCCGAUGUGAAAGCCCGGGGCUCAACCCCGGGACUGCAUUGGAAACUGCCGCACUAGAGUGCCGGAGAGGUAAGUGGAAUUCCUAGUGUAGCGGUGAAAUGCGUAGAUAUUAGGAGGAACACCAGUGGCGAAGGCGGCUUACUGGACGGUAACUGACGCUGAGGCUCGAAAGCGUGGGGAGCAAACAGGAUUAGAUACCCUAGUAAA
rnacentral:rRNA from 1 species